rnacentral:rRNA from 1 species
UACGAAGGGAACUAGCGUUGUCCGGAAUUACUGGGCGUAAAGAGCACGUAGGCGGUUUAUUAAGUUGGGAGUGAAAUCCCGGAGCUCAACUCCGGAACUGCUCUCAAAACUGAUAGGCUAGAGUGUGAUAGGGGGUGAUGGAAUUCCUAGUGUAGAGGUGAAAUUCUUAGAUAUUAGGAGGAACAUCGGUGGCGAAGGCGAUCACCUGGAUCAUUACUGACGCUGAGGUGCGAAAGCGUGGGGAGCAAACAGG